rnacentral:lncRNA from 1 species
UUCUCUUUUUUAUAGUAUUUAUUUUUCCGGAAUCAACUCCGUUACCGAUAUGAUCCGCAUUUCCAUUAAUAUUGGGCACAGUUGUUUUUCACAUGUGCGUUAUCGGGUAUAGUUUUGAGGAGUGUCGUCUAAAUAUAACUUAUAAGUCUAUUAUCCACUGGAUUUAACGAUUAUAUAUGGUGAGUAUUUAAGUUUUCUUUCGUUAUCUACUAAUCUUUUUUUUUUUUUCGAAAUGUAUUAUAUAUGUGAUGCACAAGUAUUUAAAGUUU